CAUUACCGGUUAACGUACAGCUUGAUGUUAUCAAUUAGUUCCAUAUAAUCCACAUUUGAAAAUUAUGAACAAAUCGAUUAUAUAAAAACAUACGUGGGUUGUAUCACAGAUGGUAACAUUUUGGGAAAACAUUCAUUGAUAGUUACAUACUGUUCACAAAACUGAAACAGUUGCCACACAUACAUUGAACAUUUUAUGGUUUCAGAUUAAACAUACCGUAAGUGGUAUGGUUAUGUGGCGCUUGUGUGCGUUUGGCUAGUUCGGUGAAAUUUUUUCAUCAGUCGGUUGUCAUAUUUGUUUUCAUUUCUUCGAAAAGCAUUUCGGGAGUUCCUGGUGAGAUAUGUCUAAAUAAAGUUCUUAAUUUAUUUUCUGUGUUUUAAGGGGUGCCGGAACAUUACUUGACUCCAGCAUGCUGUUGCAAAAUAUUCUCAGAAUUCCAUAAAUACGAUACAACAAUGCCACAAAACUUUGCGGGACAUUAUUACGUCUAUCAAUGCUGGGCCUUAGAGCAAGAAAUGGAUCGCUGAACUUGAUUUUAGCUUUCAGCAGUUGAGCAGUGAUGUUUUUGAUGUGGCUCAUUUCACGCAAUAAAGUUCCGGAGAUAGGAAACCGUGCCACUGAAUGAGACGAUCUCAGCUGAAAUAAUUUUGUUUCAUUUUGCUUGGCUUUUAAAAUGUUGACUUUAGAUCGUUUAAAUACAUGUAAUGCUAAAAUAUUUUA